rnacentral:rRNA from 1 species
CACGUAGUUAGCCGGGGCUUCUUAGUCAGGUACCGUCAUUAUCUUCCCUGCUGAUAGAGCUUUACAUACCGAAAUACUUCUUCACUCACGCGGCGUCGCUGCAUCAGGGUUCCCCCCAUUGUGCAAUAUUCCCCACUGCUGCCUCCCGUAGGAGUCUAGGCCGUGUCUCAGUCCCAAUGUGGCCGUUCACUCUCUCAAGCCGGCUACUGAUCGUCGCCUUGGUAAGCCCGUUACCUUACCAACCAGCUAAUCAGACGCGGGUCCAUCCCAUAGCGAUAAAUCUUUCAAAACAGGACCAUGCGGUCCCGCUUUCCCAUGCGGUAUUAGCAGCCGUUUCCAGCUGUUCGUCCCCCUCUAGUGGGGCACGGUUACCCACGCGUUACUCCACCCGUCCGCCACUCAGUCACUCCCAUACUGUCCUUCCCUUCCCCAGCCAAGCCUUGGUUCUGGUCCGGCGGGUGGGAUGUCUUCGUUCGACUUGCAGUGUGUUAGGCACGCCGC